AAGCCCCGGGCCGAACUGGGGCCUAUUUCAAACUNGCAUUUUGACGUGUGACACCUCGGAGCU
rnacentral:tRNA from 1 species